AUCCAGCUGACGAGUCCCAAAUUGGGUGAAACACGUAUCCUUGAU
rnacentral:hammerhead_ribozyme from 1 species